GCAUUUUGCCAUGUGAUUAUUUUUUUGUAUAUUUCUGAUAUUGUGGUAAUAAGCUGUUUUUUUUUAUUUUUUCCAUUCUAUUAUUGAGAGUUAACAUUAGCUUAUUCCAUGGUAGGUACUUUACAACCAAAGAAACUGAAGGCCAAAGUAGCUUGUGAAGCCAUGGGCUUAUUAUGGCUUAAUGAAGACAUGUCUGUAUUUAUUGUAGGAGUCGUGUGUGACUCAUGUGAGAUAUAUCUGAUUAUUGGUAAGCGAUACAAGUGUAAGGAUUGGAAAGAAGCAGUUGGCUUUGACUUGUGUGAAGCAUGCUACAAAACCAAAUCAAAACUCCCUGGCAGGUUCAACCAGCAGCACACGCCUGACCACAAGUUUGAGCUUGAUGAGCUGCGAAGAGCCAGUAUGUUUAACAUUGCUCAACAACGUCCUGAAGUAGUCUGACCCAAUGGAUGAUGAUCCACAUGAUGGAAAUCACGACAACGAAGGGGGUGGAAAUGAGGAGGAUCUGAGAUGGAAAGGGAAGCUCUUUGAUGUCCUUGGAAGCAAAAACCGUUGUGUAUUAUUAUCCAGAUUUCUGAAGGGCACUACAAUACAAGAAUAGUGUCUGAUGUUAUCAGAAGGGCGCUGCAAAACAAGACUUCUAUGGCUAGCAUCUCGCUUCAAAUAAUUUGAUUGAUAAGGUCCUUUUGUUCUCUUCUCCCCCAAACCAAGAAGAUUUGGAACCUCCCCCACCUGCGCCACAUUGGUGGCGCCACGGAGAAGUGGAGGAACCCAGAUUUUGGACUGCUGUUGAACUCCAUCCAUCUCUUUUACGGAACACAGCAGAUGUCGGAAUGCUGCACACCGGAAGUUAGACGUAUGGAUAACCUUUGGCC